GGCGACCACCGUCCGGUUAGCGACACCUGCCAGCCAGCGCCUGCGCCUCCGCCUCCGCCUCCCGCCGGAAGUCCCGCCCCGCCACGUUAGGUUAAGUCCCAGAGUCCGGAACCGCUGCCUGCGGCUUGACACAGGGUUGCGACCAGUAUCAGCGCCCGGCUUGUCCCCGCUGCCCGCCGCGUCCCUGGCCCGGAUGUGGGAGGCGAAGGCGGUGAGCAUUUCCAGAGCGGUGAGAUGAGCGCCGCGCAUAAUCAGGCGAUGCCCGUCUCCUGGGGAAGAAACAAACGAGUGAGACAGGGAGGGACCGCAGUGCUGGGGCUUAGGGGCGCGCGGGCUGCUCGCUGUUCCCUCCUGCCCGUCUCCACCAAGCCCACCGAACAGCACGUCCACGCAGGGCUCGGAGCCGUCAUGCCUCACGUCCGCAAUCACUGAGCAGUUGAGAUUAGUGGAGCGGACCUUCUCACUGCUCACCGUCUGCAGGAAGGUCCUACGGUGGAAAAACAGAGGAGCGCCAAGCUGAGGGCUUAAAGCCCCGGCUGAAGGAAGGCGCACCACUUCCCGCUUCUACCCACUUCCCCUUCGUACCUCGUCGAUUCCACGUUUUUCUCGAAGGGACAGAACUGAACCCGAACCUGUUUGACAGGCCGCAGACCAAGCCGAGCCAAGGCAGCUGCCAUGGUGACCUCCGCCCCGGAAGAACUCGUGCAGGCGGAAGUGUCGCAUUGCGUGAGGCCGUGAAUGGCUGCGCUUCUGCGGGAUAGACUUCCGGCCGCCGGCUGCUUAGCAGGCCUGCGAACCGCAGCUCUGGGCUUCCUAGCCCAGGCGGAGGAAGGCAGGAAAGAAAGAGGUGGUUUCGGCACAACGCAUGGGGGAGCCCAAAGUAGGCUGUCAGCAAAUACAGCCUAUCAUGAAUAGUCCUCUCAUACGACGGUGAAAACCAUAAAUAAAUGGCGCAAAAACCUCUUUGCACGAAAAUAC
ensembl:lncRNA novel transcript, antisense to CCDC142and MRPL53and MOGS